rnacentral:tRNA from 1 species
GCGAAUGUGGCGGAAUUGGCAGACGCGCUAGAUUCAGGUUCUAGUGGUAAUACGUGCAGGUUCAAGUCCUGUCAUUCGCACCA